GGAGCCAAGCUCCAAAACGAGUAGGGCCGAGUUGCAGCUAAGUAGGUGAGCGACGAGCGGAGCAGAGGUGACACAAAGCUGGGGACGAGGAGGUAGGGGAGGAGCAGGGCGUGAGUGGAGAAGGCGAGGGAGAGGCGGGGCUGGAACAGGAGCGCGGUGCAGGUUGGGGAGGAGUAGGGUGGAGAAGGGGGAAUGCUGGGGCGUAGCUGGGCGAGGCGGGGCCGGGAGAAAUCACGGAAAGAUAAGCUGAGGAAGAAUGUGGUAUAGCAGGUGAGAAGCAGCUUGAAACUGGGGGAAAGCAGGGUAGCGAGAGCUCAGGGAGGAGUGCGGCGGAGCUGCGAGAAAGAGCUGUGGUAGAGGGAGGAGCCGAAUCGAGCCAGAGAAACGCAGGUCCUCAACCCAGAGAAGUCACCUCAGUCCAUUGCCACCGUCGUCCUCAGAAUUGUCACUCCCCUGUGUUCCACAUACCUGGAUCUUCUCACCUACCAGGAAAUUCCUUUCCACCUGCCGGACUGAUGAGAAGGUCUAACGUGAAAAUCCUAGCAGCUGGACUGUUGCCUCAUGCUCAGGGCUGUCUGCACACCAGGGGUCCCCCGGCACGGGAUCCUCCUUACCAAGCAGGGCAGGUGACAAGCAAUCCUGUGCCUCGACCUCAUCUUCCCACCGACUUUUUGGACCACUCUGGAACCCUCUAGGUUGGGUCCUUGAGGCAGCGGAGCCUGCGAGGGAAUCAGUAGGAGUGCUAAAGGCUGAUUGUGAGCUGACGCCCACUGAUGGAGCGGGAGGAAGUGGGCUUGGGCAGGGUGUCCUUUCCGAUGGGCUGCCAACCUGACAGUCCGUACCAGCCCAUCAGGUUGCUGCAGAGUGAGGGUCAUGUCAUCGUGAGAGGGCCUGUGCUGGGCCUGGGUGGUCAGGCCCUUGCUGUGCAAUCCACGUUGACUGACUGGAAGAAUCAGCACCCAGAAUUGGUGCCCUGAGUGUGUGCCAAGCGGCAUGUGUAGGGCAUCAGCUGCCUCUGCAAGCAGAAGUGUGCUCUACCCUGCAAGAGGCCUAGUGGGAGGUGGUUUGGCCUCUCAUGCACCAGAGAGCUGCUGGGUUAGGAAGGGCAUUUGCUAGCCAGGCAUGUGUUAGCAUUGGUGUAAGCCUAGCCUGAGGGGAGAGGACAGAUGAGGGUACAGAGCAUCGUAAGGCAAAGCCAGUUUAAGUCAGUGUAAACGUAAACCAGAGGCUCUUUGACAGCGCGUGCUUACCUCCACAUUACUCAGGGCUGGUCGGGGCCUCUUCCAGGCAGACCUGUAAGAAAGUGCAGACUCUGAAUUCUGAGGCAGAGUGAGGUUGGCUAGGCGUGAGGAGGAAGGAACUGCCGACUCAGAGCAAGGGGCUGCUGCAGGCUUCAUGGAGGAGGAGCUGCUUCCAGAAGAUGUUUCCCCCGUCACCUCGAGGAGUCUGACUGGAGAGCGCGUCAUCGCCAGCAGCUGAUGUGAGCCAAGUGAAGGAGGCAAGGUGGUCAGGCACGGCAGGUGGCCUCCGAGCCGAAGCAGUCCGCACAGGGCCGAGCCUGGAGCAAGUGGUCGCUGCAGCUGCGUCAGAAGCCGCAGGGCAGCCCAGAUUCAGGCAGUUGGAGAGCCGAGUCCCAGCACUGCCUCACAGGUCCUGAGACGGCCACUUCUGGGAGCAGAGCCCUCAGUGCCCAGCAAAUUUGGCGGCGGUCGUAGGUCACACCAGGCACCUCCUCAGAACCAGUUCACGGCCCCACGGAGACCAGGCCCCUGCCUGCCUCUUCUGCAGAGUGAGAGAACCCUUCCUGGCAGCAGGCUGAGUACACAGCCUGGGCCACUCUGCCUUUGCAUCCAGGUAAUUUCCAUCAUGCUUCUCACCCCAGUGGCCCCUUGGAACCCAGCAAACAGUGCUAGCCCUGGGGACAUAGCAGCAAACGGAAGGGUGAGAGCCUGCCCGCUAGGAGUGCCCCUCUGAGGACCCCAGAUCCUGAGUGAGAGACGAGUCCUGAAGUCUUCCCCGAACCCUCAUCCCUGUGAUGUGGCAGGGUUUUGCGGAAUAGUUACCAGUUUGCUGAUGUGUGCUGCCCUCAGCCCCUGGAGUUCGGGCCAGAGGUGGGAGUGUGGUAGAAGUCCAAGG